GACGAACGCUGGCGGCGAGCUUAACACAUGCAAGUCGAACGGAAAGGCCCUGCUUUUGUGGGGUGCUCGAGUGGCGAACGGGUGAGUAACACGUGAGUAACCUGCCCUUGACUUUGGGAUAACUUCAGGAAACUGGGGCUAAUACCGGAUAGGAGCUCCUGCUGCAUGGUGGGGGUUGGAAAGUUUCGGCGGUUGGGGAUGGACUCGCGGCUUAUCAGCUUGUUGGUGGGGUAGUGGCUUACCAAGGCUUUGACGGGUAGCCGGCCUGAGAGGGUGACCGGCACCUUGGGAACUAGGUUCCGCCCCGACUCCUACGGGAGGCAGGAGGUGGGAAUAAUGCACCAUGGGCGGAAGCCUGAUGCAGCAACGCCGCGUGCGGGAUGACGGCCUUCGGGUUGUAAACCGCUUUCGCCUGUGACGAAGCGUGAGUGACGGUAAUGGGUAAAGAAGCACCGGCUAACUACGUG
rnacentral:rRNA from 1 species